CACCCCUAAAUCCUAAUUCAAUUUUUAGGUUUAUAGUAUUAUUUUGACACCUUCCCAUUUCUCUCUCUUUCUCUCUCCUCUGGUUUGUUGAUUUCGAUCUUUCUUUGGUGGCUGCUAAUUGCACCAACCCCACCUUCCCUUAAUUUUCUCAUUUCUUCCAUUCUCCCCUUCAAUUUUAAUCUCUUAAUUCAUAAUUCAAAACCCAUAAAUAAAUUGAAAUAGUUCCUUUGAGUUAAAUUUUCCCAUCUCACCUACCUCCAGAAAAUUUGCCGUAAAAUCGGUUAAAUUAUCAAAUUGGAGGAGGAAAUUGGGGAAAUGGUGAGAUUUUGAGGUGGGUUUUUUGUUUUAUGAAGUGGGUGUUAAUUAUAAAUAUAAAUGAGGGAUCCAAUGUGGGUGGAUGAUGCAAGUGCUCCAUCAACUUCAAACCCUUUAACGCGUCUUCAUGAGGCUGUUUCUGCUCCAAAACGAAGUGGAGACAAUGUCUUCAAUCUCUUAGCACGUAGAGAGGUCACUCCUCGAACAAAGCGUUCGACAAAAAGGUUGUGGAGAGAAAGUUCAGAAGGUGGUUUUGACACUCUUUCCCAUAUAUAUGAGGCCGGAAGGGAUGCAAGACGUGGCCUCAUCUCAUGGGUUGAGGCAGAGUCUUUGCGUCAUUUGUCAGCCAAGUAUUGCCCUCUUCUUCCACCUCCUAGGUCGACAAUUGCAGCAGCCUUCAGUCCGGAUGGGAAGACACUUGCUUCUACGCAUGGAGAUCAUACUGUAAAGAUAAUUGAUUGUGAAAGUGGAAACUGUCUGAAAGUGCUAAGUGGGCAUCGGAGGACACCUUGGGUGGUUAGAUACCAUCCGACUUGUCCUGGAUUACUUGCUAGCGGGAGUCUGGACCAUGAAGUUCGACUAUGGGAUGCAAAUACAGCAGAAUGUAUUGGGUCACGGGAUUUUUACCGACCAAUUGCUUCUAUUGCUUUCCAUGCCCAGGGUGAGGUGCUUGCUGUGGCUUCAGGGCACAAGCUAUACAUAUGGCAUUACAAUGAAAGAGGAGAUAUGUCAAUUCCUUCUGUUGUCCUAAAGACACGACGUUCGUUGCGUGCUGUUCACUUCCAUCCGCAUGCUGCACCUUUUUUAUUGACAGCUGAGGUCAACGAUCUUGAUUCUUCUGAUUCGUCAAUGACACUUGCAACUUCUCAGGGUUACGUGAGAUAUCCACCUCCUACUGUCUAUGUUGCUAAUGUCCAUGCUUCUGAUUGGUCUAGUUCAGCUGAGGAACUUCCUCUUAUGUCCCUUCCUUUCUUGAUCUGGCCUCCACUCUCUAGAAAUGAUGGAAGAAUAUCUUUUCAGCAUUCAGAUGGGAAUGCAGGUACAAGUAGUAUGCGACAGAGGUUUGGUCCCUCAUCGUCAGUUAGGUUGCUGACAUAUUCAACCCCAUCUGGACAGUAUGAGCUCUUAUUAUCUCCAAUAGAAUCUAGUAACACUUCCUCUGUUCCGGAGGAAAUGAGGCCUGAUAGAUCGUCGGCUGAGAUGGAAGCUGCUCCUGAGUCAGCUGUUGAUGCCAUGGAGACAUCAGAUAUACCGCCUGAAGAGAGAAAUACUCAAAUUUUUCCUUUUGGGGACCCUGCGUAUUGGGAUCUAACUUUCUUGCAAGGAUGGUUGAUGGGUCAGAGUCAAGCUGGGCAACGCAUGAUACGCCCUGUAAAUUCUAGUUCGCAGGAGCUUUCUCCUGCUCAAAGCGAGAUGUUAAACCAUGAUCCAGUGACGUCCUCACCCGUGCAAAUGGGUACAUCCUAUACAAGGGGCAGCAGUCGAUCAGGUUCUCGGCACCGUUCAUCACGUUCUCGUGCAGUAGCUAUUACUCCUGCAGCGGAAGGUGCUGCUGUUCCACAGGAUGAAGGGAAUCCUCAGCCUGUCAUUAGCAGAAUCCAAUCUGAGAUUGCCACAUCACUAGCAGCUGCAGCUGCUGCAGAGUUACCAUGUACUGUGAAGCUUAGGAUAUGGCCGUAUGACAUAAAAGAUCCAUGCGCCCCUCUUGAUGCAGAGAUAUGCCGUUUGACUAUUCCACAUGCUGUCCUUUGCAGUGAAAUGGGUGCCCAUUUUUCUCCUUGUGGGAGAUUUUUGGCUGCUUGUGUUGCAUGUAUGCUGCCGCAGGCGGAAGGUGAACCUGAAAUACAGAUGCAGGCUUCCCAUGAUGCGUCAGGAAUUGCAACUUCACCAACAAGGCAUCCAAUCUCAUCUCAACCAGUUAUGUAUGAGCUGAGGAUAUAUUCCCUGGAGGAGGCAACGUUCGGGUUAGUACUUGCUUCACGGGCAAUAAGAGCUGCUCAUUGUUUGACGUCUAUACAGUUCUCACCUACGUCAGAACACUUGCUGCUUGCCUAUGGACGGCGUCAUAAUUCUCUCCUGAAAAGUAUCGUCUUCGACGGGGAGACUACUGUCCCCAUUUAUACAAUCUUAGAGGUCUACAGAGUCUCUGAUAUGGAGCUUGUGAGAGUCCUUCCGAGUGCAGAGGAUGAAGUGAACGUUGCUUGCUUUCAUCCUUCAGUUGGAAGUGGUCUUGUCUAUGGAACAAAGGAGGGGAAGCUCAGGAUUCUCCAUUAUGAUAGCUCCACUAGCGUGAACUGUACUGCUUCCUGCUUUCCGGAUGAAAAUCUGCUGGAGGUGAGGAUGGUGCAAUCUGCUAGUUGAUCUUUCCUGCUGCUUUUAGUUUUAGGGUCCCAUCACAUGCUUUAGAAUGCUAGUAUGAGGACUAGCUCUCACAUCUGGGCAUGCAUUGGAGCUAAAGUGGACGAUGGUGACAAACAUGGAGCCAUAGAAUCGACAGUUGGGAUACGACAACGUUUUUGUUUUGACUUCCCGGAAAAUGAGGUUUUUGUUUUCCUCGAAGGGUGUUAUAUGAGCUGUCUUUUCUAAGUGCCAUUCCCCAAGAUGUGAUUUCUUUUCAAUUCGUUACACUACUGCUGCUUGCGAAAACAGCACAAGUCAGCCAUAAUCAAGCAAGUUCAGCCACACCCCUCAUUUUACACGAGGGGGGUAUGUUUAAUCGCGAUUGUAAGGGCAGAUGCAAGUUCUGUAUUUCUUUUGCGUUGUAUCAUUUCAUAUGUAAGAGGGCUCCGAGCAACUAAGAAUCAUGCUCUGAAGGAUCCAGGGGUGUAACAGUCAAUGUAGUAGUUGUAUUUAAAAAUGCCCAAUAUAUCCACAAUUAGUAGUCGGAUGGGUUGUAGAAACUGAUGAUACCUGAAUACUGUUAGGGGUGGUGCUGGUAAUUGUAGGAAGGUUUUUUCAUAUAUAAUUUGUUUCUUUUGUUUACUUGGAAUAGAAAAAAAUGUAAAAAGAAAGUUGUUCCAUCUCGGAACUAGUCGUGUUUCUGGGGAAGUAAUUGUGUAAUGAGCAUCCUGGUCUACUUUGUGUUUCUUGUCAA